GAAAAGAACUUUGAAGAGAGAGUUAAAAAGUACGUGAAACCUCUCGGGGGUAAGCGGGCAGAACUUGCAAGUAUUGACGGUAACAUUCAGGCUUGUUGUUGGCGGCUGAGGGUGUACAUUAUGUUGUUCCUUCGGGGACUGGCUGAUGUGCGCCUUUUGUUCUGUUGACGACACGCCGCAUUUGUUGCUGUCUUCGGGUUGCAUGCGACUGAGGUUGGUAGUUUAGGUGCUGGGGUGCUGCAAAUCCUUGUGGUUUGAGUCCUGGUUUUUCCAACUACUCGUGCGGUCGUUGAAAGCGAGCAGGCGUUUAUCGCGGUCACCUUCUUUGACGAGUUGGGUGCAUGUGAUGUGUGGACGGGUAACCGUAGCAUGUUGUAUGUACCUGCUGUCAGUCAGAGUUGUGUGGCACUGUUCAGUAUUGCAAUCUCAAGCAUGCGUGGUCUGCCUGUCCCGUCUUGAAACACGGACCAAGGAGUCUAACAUGUGCGCGAGUCAUUGGGAAUUUGUAAACCCAAAGGCGGAAUGAAAGUGAAGAUUCGAUUGCGAAUUUGAGGAGAGAUCCCGGCUCUGUGUGGUAUUCCGUAAGGUUUGCUGCGCAGGGUGGGCGCAUCUCCGGGACGUCUAUACCUCUGAAGGUGGGGCGUACCUAGAGCGUACACGUUGG
rnacentral:rRNA from 1 species